rnacentral:tRNA from 1 species
GCGCCCGUAGCUCAACGGAUAGAGCAUUUGACUACGGAUCAAAAGGUUGCACGUUCGAAUCGUGCCGGGCGCA